rnacentral:rRNA from 1 species
UACGGAGGAGGCAAGCGUUAUCCGGAAUUAUUGGGCGUAAAGCGUCCGCAGGUGGCACUUCAAGUCUGUCGUCAAAGACUGGGGCUUAACCCUGGAAAGGCGGUGGAAACUGAACAGCUAGAGUAUGGUAGGGGCAGAGGGAAUUCCUGGUGUAGCGGUGAAAUGCGUAGAUAUCAGGAGGAACACCGGUGGCGAAGGCGGCUACCUGGACAGAAACUGACGCUGAGGCGCGAAAGCUAGGGGAGCAAACAGG